rnacentral:misc_RNA from 1 species
GAUAAACUGUUUGACAGUUUCAAAUUCUAAUAACGAGUAAUUGUUAACUGAAAAACUCCAUAAAAUGAAUGAAACUGAACAAACGGAACGUUCUCGAUGAAUGAUUCUGAUUUUCCGUCCAACUCUCCUCCUUGUGUUUACCUUCGUCAGAUUAGCCGCCUUGUUUAUAUUUUACGAUUGUCGUUUAUCAUUUGAAGAAGAUUUUGUGCUAGUAAUUGUCAACAAUAAAAAUUAUCAACUAUCUAAAAGUUUUGGAUUUAAUCUUCAAUCGAUUCUCUUAAUUCUUUAUUUCUCUUAUCGACUCCUGAUAAAAAGUUGUAGCGGAAGAUGAUGUCAGGGGGAGGACAAUUGUGAAAAAUUAAGUUUUGUUUUUUUAUUUUAAGAAAGAAUGGAUCGUGUUUGCGAAUCAAAAUUUUGGGAUCCCUCCUUAACAUGGAACACUACAGUACCACUUUUUACACCAUGUUUCUUGAAAGUUGGUUUAAUAUGGGCGCCUGUCGCAUUUUUUUGGCUGUUCAUUCCCUUAGAAAUUUAUUUUAUCUCAAGUACGAAAAAGAAAUUGAUUCCGUGGUCUGUUCUCAACAUUUCAAAAUUGGUGAUAAUUUUUUUAAUGAUGGCUCUCACAAUUGGUGACAUGUCUUAUCAAAUGGUACAAUUUUCAAAGACAGGCCAUGUUGCACCUUUUGAGUAUUACACUCCAUUUCUUCUUUUUCUGACACUGGCUGCGAAUGCUUUUGUAACACUAUAUCAACGAAAAAAAGGAAGGAUCACUUCUGCCGUAUUAUCACUGUUUUGGCUUUUCGCUUGCAUUGGAACUGCUGUUGGUUAUUACACUUCAUUGCAAAAACUUUAUAAUGAGAAUCUUAAUUUUGAUGCAGAGUUUGAACAGUAUCCUUUUACAAUGUAUGUGCUGUACUUUGCCUUUUCGUUUACUCUAUUCGUGUUUCAUGGUUUUGCAGAUCUGAAAGAAAAAACUAGCGAAAGAGAAUCUCCUGAGGAAAAGGCAUCUUUUUGGUCUCAAAUAACCUUCUUUUGGUUUAAUCCCAUGGCUGCUUUAGGCUACAGGAAACCUUUGACUGCAGAUGAUAUGUGGGAUCUUCCAGAAGAAAAUACUUCGAAGUACUUACAAGCAGAAUUUGACAAAUAUUGGCUACCUUUGGUUAAUAAAGUCUUAAAUCAUCAAAAAAAAGUAAAGACACAACUCUCUAGAAGAUAUUCAGAAAUGCCCACUGAUGACAAUGAAUGCAAAGUGACUAUUUCACCUGAUGAAUUGGAUAAAGAACUACCAAAACUCAGUAUUUUAAAACCUAUUCUUAAAGUAUUUGGAUGGCAGCUAUUUUUUACAGGAUCAUUGAAAUUCUUUUCUAGUCUUAUCACAUUUGUGAAUCCUUUAAUUUUGGAUAAAGUUAUUGCCUUUGUUGGAAGCAAUGAUCCUUAUUGGAUGGGAGUGGUCUAUGCUAUUGGAAUGUUUCUCUCCUCAAUGCUGGAAUCUUUUUUGAACGGUCAAUAUGAAUAUAGAAUUUAUAUCAUAGCCAUGAGAAUAAGAUCCUGUGUCAUUUCAGUUGUAUAUAAAAAGGCUUUGACUCUUUCAAACUCGGCCAGGAAGAAUUUCACUGUGGGUGAAGUAGUAAAUUUAAUGUCUGUUGAUACCCAAAGAGUGAUGGAUUAUGUUCAGAUGGUUAACUAUCUGUGGUCUGCUCCCCUUCAAAUUGGUGUCGCUAUCUAUCUCUUAUGGCAACAAUUAGGAAUUGCUACUUUAGGUGGCUUAAGUGUAAUGAUACUCAUGAUACCUCUCAAUGGCACUAUUAGUGUUUUCAUUCGAAACUUUCAAGUAAGCUUGAUGAAAGAAAAAGAUAUAAGAACUAAAUUGAUGAAUGAGAUUAUGAAUGGUAUUAAAGUUCUGAAAUUGUAUGCAUGGGAAAAUUCUUUCAUUAAAGAAGUGAUGAAGAUAAGAAACAGAGAAGUAGAUAGUUUGAGGGCGCAAGCUUAUUUGAAUGGUGCCAUCACUUUUGUAUUUUCAUCCGCUCCAUUUCUAGUCUCUCUGGCUAGCUUCGCUGCGUAUGUUUUGAUUGAUUCUAAUAAUGUAUUAGAUGCUAAUAAGGCUUUUGUUUCUCUGUCAUUAUUCAACAUUCUUCGGCUUCCAACAGCUUUCCUCCCCAUGAUUAUCACAUAUACUGCUAUGUUUGUAGUAUCCCUGAAAAGAAUAAACAAGUACUUACAAGGUGAUGAAUUGGAUAAGAGUAUUAUUGAACAUAAUCAAUCUGAAAGGGAUCCUGUUGUUAUUGAGAAUGGCACAUUCUCUUGGACAAAGUCUGAUCCUCCUACCCUCACUAAUUUGAACUUUAGUGUGAAAGAAGGAUCAUUGGUUGCUGUUGUUGGACAGGUUGGUGCAGGAAAAUCUUCACUUUUGUCUGCUCUACUUGGUGACAUGGUUAAGUGGUGUGGAAGAAUUAAUGUAAAGGGAAGUAUUGCAUAUGUGCCACAGCAAGCCUGGAUUCAAAAUGCCACCCUUAGAAAGAAUGUUCUUUUUACUAAGCGAUACGAUGAGCCAUGGUAUAAACGUGUAUUGGAGGCUUGUGCUCUUGCUCAAGAUUUAGAAAUUUUGCCAGGAGGGGAUCAAACUGAGAUAGGAGAAAAAGGUAUCAAUCUUAGUGGUGGACAGAAACAAAGAGUAAGCUUAGCUAGAGCUGUCUAUAAUGAUGCUGACAUAUAUUACUUGGAUGAUCCACUCAGUGCUGUUGAUGCUCAUGUUGGGAAACAUAUAUUUGAGGAGGUUAUUGGACCAAAAGGAGUUCUUAAGAAAAAGACUAGAAUUCUUGUCACACAUCGAAUAAGUGUCUUGCCAGAGGUAGAUACAAUAGUAGUUCUCCAAAAUGGCAAAGUUUCUGAGAUAGGCUCAUACAGUGAACUUUUAGCAAAGAAAGGAGCUUUUGCUGAUUUUCUCAUUCAAUAUUUACAAGAAAAUGCUGAAGAAGCUGUUGAGGAAAUGCCACUCGAUGAAUUGAAUUUAAUGCAAGAAAUAGCUGCUACCAUAGGAGUACCACCUGAAGUUACAAGACAACUGUCAAAACUAAGUGAUGGAACUGAUUCAGAUACAGCUAGCCCUGCAAAAUCUGAAAGAUCUCCUUCAAUAAUAGGGUCUGGAGAUGGUCUGCGUAAAAGAGCUAAAAGUUGGAAAGAGUCUUAUCAUCGGAGAGCCAGUAAAAAAUCUGUUGUAGAAAAGCCUAAAACUGGAACCAGGCUCACAGAAAAGGAAGGAAUGGAAGUUGGAUCUGUUAAAGCAUCUGUGUAUGUCGAUUACAUGAAAUCUUAUGGUUACUGGAACACAUUCUGGACAAUUUUGAGUUACACUUUGUCUACAGCAUUCAGUCUUGGAUCUAGUUUAUGGCUUUCUGCAUGGAGUGCAGAUGCUACUGACCCUGUGAAAAGUGUCGAUACAAAAUUACGUGAUUUACGUUUAGGUGUGUAUGGUGGACUGGGAGGUGGUGAAAUUGUUUUCACUAUAGUGACUGCCCUUCUCAUGAACCUUGCUUGUCUUCGAGCCUCAACAAUUCUUCACAAUGACAUGCUGAAUCACAUAAUGCAUGCCCCAAUGUCAUUUUUUGACACGACUCCUUUAGGAAGACUGUUAAACAGGUUCUCUAAAGACAUUGAUACAGCUGACGUCACUAUUCGAUUCAACAUAAGAAUGUUACUUAUUAUGUCAUUCAGAACUUUAGGUGCAGUCCUCAUAAUUUGCUUGGAAACGCCGAUAUUUAUUGUGGCUGCAAUUCCUCUUGGUAUUUUAUAUUAUUUCCUGCAGAAAUUCUACAUACCAACUUCUCGGCAGCUGAAGAGAUUAGAGUCGACCACUCGUUCUCCUGUUUAUUCCCAUUUUUCAGAGACUGUUACAGGGGCCACUUGUAUUAGAGCUUUUAGAGCAGAUCAGCAGUUUAUGACCCAUUCAAACAACCUAGUAGAUAUCAAUAAUGAAUCCUAUUAUCCAAGUCUUGGAGCUAGCAGGUGGUUGGCUAUUUAUUUAGAGUUUCUUGGAUAUACAGUUGUUUUCUUAGCUGCUCUUUUUGCUAUUUUGGCAAGAGAUACUUUGAGUCCAGGUAUAGCUGGGUUAUCAGUCAGUUAUGCUCUACAGAUGACUGGCCAAUUAAACAUGCUUGUUAGGGCCACAGCUGAUGUUGAGACUAACAUUGUUUCUGUUGAGAGAUGUUUAGAAUAUACCAAAACUCCAGUAGAAGCUGAUUGGAAAAAUGAAAAAAAUAAACCUGAUCCAUCAUGGCCUUCAGAUGGACAUAUUAAGUUUGAACAGUAUGCCACGAGAUACAGAGAAGGAUUGGAAUUAGUUUUAAAAGGAAUUUCAUGCAACAUUAAUCCAUCUGAAAGGUGUGGCAUUGUAGGACGAACAGGUGCAGGAAAAUCAUCCUUGACUCUAGCUUUGUUUCGCAUUGUUGAGGCUGCUGGUGGAAAAAUCCUUAUUGAUGGAGUAGAAAUUGCAAAACUUGGCCUCCAUGACUUGCGUUCUAAGUUGACAAUCAUUCCUCAGUGUUGGUCAAAGACAGUUAGUGUGCUUGGCCAGAGCAUUGCUACGUAAAAGCAGAGUUCUUGUUCUUGAUGAAGCAACUGCAGCUGUUGAUGUUGAAACAGAUGAGCUCAUACAAUCUACUAUCCGUACAAAAUUUACUGACUGCACAGUUUUAACCAUUGCACAUAGACUAAACACUAUCAUGGAUUAUGACAAGGUUAUUGUAUUAAGCAAAGGAGAAAUUGUAGAAAUGGAUUCACCAGAAAACCUUCUUAAAAAUGAGAAUUCUAUAUUCUAUAGUAUGGCAAAAGAUGCUGGACUUGUUUAAUUAAAAAAAAAACUCUCUUUAUGUACAUUGUGAUACUUUUAUAUUUAAAUAAAUUUUACAUCUAAACAGGCAAUAAGUCACCUAAAAUGCCUGUAAUGCUGCUAUACAGUAUUUCCUCUGCUUUUGAGUGUAUGUGAAAAAUUUAAAAUUGUACAACUACUUUGACUGCUCACAUUCUACACAGAGCUGAUUUUGAUUUUUUAAAACUUGCGGUUCUUAUAAACUUUUCUAAAUAAAAAUAAAUAUCUAUUUCCCAGUUGCAUGAUAUUUAUCUUUUUAAAUGAUGCAUAAACUUAAUGAGUUCGGUCUAGUUUAAAAAAUUAAACAAAAGGAAAUCAAAAUAUUUUUGUAAGAUCUAAAUAUUUUUGUAUUUUCGAACAUAAAUAUUUUGAAAGGAAAACUUUUGAGUUGUCUUUAGAUGUAAUUAAAUUAUUUCUUAUUGACUACUUAUUUACUUUUUUUUCAAUAUAUAAAUAGGUUUUAUUUUUAAAAAAAUAUUUGAAACUCUUUCAAACUUGUUUAAUUUGUGACUAGAAAUAUAUUUGAGUAUAUUUUGUUUUAUUCUUACUAUUCUUUGAAGAAAAUCGUUGAUUUUUGAUUCUUGAGUUGUUGAAUUUUAUGAAGUUUUAGAUGUAUAAGCUGUCAUUUGCACUUAGAAUUAAUAUAUAUCCUAACUUAAUAUUAAUUAGCUAGCUAACUCCCAGUUUUAUUUGAUGUCAGAGUCUGUCUCUUGCAGCUUACUUAGACUCAGUGCCAAAUAUUGUUGUUAGAAUGAUAUAAUUAACAGUUAUAGUAAGUAUUUAUUGUGUACAAUAUUUCAAUUUUACUUUAGGAAAUUUAAUAAUUAUUAUUAUAUUAAGUUGAACAAUUUACUUACUUAGAUUCUUAAAUUAUAUGAUUAAUAUAGCAAUUUAAUAUAAAAACAUGUAUGUAAUUCAAAGUUACACAAAAUUAAACUACUUAAAAUUGCUUCUUUUUUUUUUCAAUACAAAGUUUAUUUAAAAUUUUGUAAACCAUGUGAAGAAUUUACUAAUGUAGAAUUAAAAACGUUAAAUAAAAGAGAAAUAAUAUAUUUGAGUACAGUAGAUAUUUGAGUUAUGCAACUGUUUAAUUCCAUUUUAAGAAAUUUAAUAAUUAUUAUAUUGAGUUCAGCAAUUUACUUACUUAGGUUCUUAAAUUAUGUGACUGAUAUUUGGAAAUGUAACAAUUUAAUGUAAAAGCAUGUGUUUAGUCAUAAUUCAAAGUUUAUUUAAAAUUUAUGAAGUCGUGUAAAGAAUUUACAAAUGUAAAAUUAAAAACUUCAAAUCAAAGAAAAAUAAUAAAGUAGUUUAAACCCUUUGCCUUCCUUUGAGUAUUCUGAUCUUUCCAAACUUCAGCUGAUUGCUUUACUGCUACACAAACUUGUUUCCCCAAACUAUGAGAUAGAAGUGCUUAGUAGGGAAAAUUUGUAGCAAGUCGUAAUGUUUGGAGAAUUGUUUUGAAAAAUAUUUGUUAUAAAUAAAUUUCAUUGAAAAAAAAUUAUUUUAUUAAAAAGAUCUUUCUCUCUUUUUAAUUUAUGCAAAUUGUUAUCAUAAUUCCACCUUGUUUUUUAAUAAUGUAAAUGUACUUUAUAUUAUAUGGUUGCACAACCUUUUUGAAAACAAAGACCACAAAUAAAAAUUUGCUUAAAAAUGUAGAAAACUUUUAGUUUUUUAAACUUUAAAUUAAUAGUUCUACAUUUUGAAAGACUUAAAUCAAAUAAUUACAUUUUUUUUCUCCAAUUUUAUUGAAAUUAAUCUUAAAAAUAGUUUUAAAAAUUUUUAUAUAACUUUUUCAUGGUUGCUACUCUAUGGGGAGAAUGGGGAAAACCUGGAAUAUAAGGCAAUUUAAAAAUCAUCUGAAAUAACAGAAAAUAUGCAGAGAAUUUUUAAUUUUUCCUUGCAAACUGGGAAAAUGCAGGGAAUUCGGAAUUUUUCCUUGCAAACUAGGAAAAUACAGGGAACUUUUUUUCUUAUUUGUUUUUUUUUUUUUAAAAAAUGCCUACCUUUCAAAGUGCAAUCUAUGCGGUAUUGUUCAGCUUUACUAUCUCAUUUUUAUAGUAUUAUUUGUUAUAUGUAUGUGAAGCUGUUUCUUAUUUCUUAAAACUAGUUUAGUUACCCUAAUAUAGCUCACACAAGAGCACAGUAAUUGUGUUUCCUCUUAAUGUAUUGUGUAUAGGAAAAUCACUUGGAAUUUUUUUGCCAGAUUUGAGUGGCAACCCUGUUUUUAACGGUUAAUUUUUAGCUGCUAGUUAGGGUCUGCACAUUAAUCACUUGAGGGCUGCAGGUUUUACACCCCAAUUGUAUUAAGUAUUGUAUUAUGAAAAUAUAGUUUUUAUGUAUGUGUGCUAGUUAUAACUGUUAAAAGUUAUGUUGCAGUUAAAUGUUAAAAUUUUCUCAUCUACAGUUUUGCCUUUCUUUCAGUGCCUGAAGCUACAAAGCUCACUUAAAAACAAUACAUCGCUCAAUAACAUAAUGUUAUUUUCUUAUGAUUUAUUAUAGACUGUUUCAUUUUACUAGGGACUUAAAUAAUCAUUUUAUGUCUUGUAAAUAUCGUAUGAAAUUUUAUUUAUGCUUUGGACUGUGUUAUUUUUUUUUUAAAGUUUAUUUUAAAUGUAAUUUGUACAUAUAGUCCAUUUUCGACGGAUAUCUUUUAGCGUUUUGUAAGUUAUACUUAAAAUUUUUAGCUUGUACUUUAUUAAGCAUUAAUAUAUUUGUUUAAAAAACUGUAUUUAAAUCCAUCCAUCAAUUUUUCUCAAACUGCGUGGCUUAAAAACGAAUCAUUUCAGUAUUGUUUUGUAAUUUUUGUAAAUUCAAAUAAAAAAAAUGUUAUUUCGAA